AUUGUGAAGGCGCGUACUGCUGGCCUUGUCAGCAACAUGCCAAUGUAGCCGGGAUCUGAGAGCUACGAUGCGCCAUUGCGCAUGAUCCAUGCUCAGGUCGCCAAGCUUCCGGUAAUGCGACCGAUCGACUGCCAUUGCGGUCGAGGAAGC
rfam:Pseudomonas fuscovaginae strain IRRI 6609 Pf_IRRI_6609_contig_10.10, whole genome shotgun sequence.